CAAGUAAUUUUCCGCAAUGGGCGAAAGCCUGACGGAGCAACGCCGCGUGCAGGAUGACGCAUUUCGGUGUGUAAACUGCUGUUCGGGGGGACGAAGCACUGACGGUACCCCCGGAGGAAGGCCCGGCUAACUACGUGCCAGCAGCCGCGGUAAUACGUAGGGGCCAAGCGUUGUCCGGAGUUACUGGGCGUAAAGCGUGCGCAGGCGGCUCGUUGCGCCCGACGUGAAAGCCCCCGGCUCAACCGGGGAGGGUCGUCGGGGACGGGCGAGCUUGAGGGUGUCAGGGGCUGGUGGAACUCCCGGUGUAGUGGUGAAAUGCGUAGAGAUCGGGAAGAACACCCGUGGCGAAGGCGGCCAGCUGGGACACACCUGACGCUGAGGCACGAAGGCGUGGGGAGCGAACGGG
rnacentral:rRNA from 1 species